rnacentral:rRNA from 1 species
UACGUAGGGGGCGAGCGUUGUCCGGAUUUAUUGGGCGUAAAGAGCUCGUAGGCGGUUCGGUAAGUCAGAUGUAAAAACUCCAGGCUCAACUUGGAGAGGCCAUCUGAUACUGCCGUGACUAGAGUCCGGUAGAGGAGCACGGAAUUCCUGGUGUAGCGGUGAAAUGCGCAGAUAUCAGGGGGAACACCAGCGGCGAAGGCGGUGCUCUGGGCCGGAACUGACGCUGAGGCACGAAAGCGUGGGGAGCAAACAGG